rnacentral:rRNA from 17 species
GUUGUAUGGUUAAGUGACUAAGCGUAUACGGUGGAUGCCUUGGCAGUCAGAGGCGAUGAAGGACGUAGUAACUUGCGAAAAGCGUUGGCGAGCUAGUAACAAGCAUUUGAGCUAACGAUAUCCGAAUGGGGAAACCCACUCACAUAAGUGAGUAUCACAUACUGAAUACAUAGGUAUGUGAGGCAAACCGGGGAACUGAAACAUCUAAGUACCCGGAGGAAAAGAAAUCAACUGAGAUUCCCUAGUAGCGGCGAGCGAACGGGGAUUAGCCCUAAGUCUAUAGGGUGUUAGUGGAAUGAGUUGGAAAGCUCAGCGGCACAGGUGAUAGCCCUGUACAUGAAAACUAACUAUAGUGAAAACGAGAGGACGGGACACGUGACAUCUUGUCUGAACAUAAAAAUUCAUCCUCCAAGCUAAAUACUCCUGACUGACCGAUAGUGAACCAGUACCGUGAGGAAAGGCGAAAAGAACCCCUGUGAGGGGAGUGAAUAGAACCUGAAACCGUAUACGCGCUGGGCAGUGGAGUUCCUGAGACCGUGACUGCGUACCUUUGUAUAAUGGGUCAGCGACUUACAUUUUGUAGCAAGGUUAAGCGAAUAGCGGAGCCGUAGGGAAACCGAGGUUAACUGCGCGUUUAGUUGCAAGUGUAGACCCGAAACCGAGUGAUUCAGCCAUGGGCAGGUUGAAGGUUGAGUAACAUCAACUGAUGACCGAACAUCACGUAUGUUGAAAAUGCGGUGAUGACUUGUGGUGGUGAAAGGCCAAUCAAACUCGAGAUAUCUGGUUCUCUCGAAAGCUAUUUAGGUAGCGCCUCGUACGAAUACCAUUGGGGGUAGAGCACUGUUGGCUAGUCAUCCCGACUUACCAACCCUGCAAACCCGAAUACCAAUGAGUACUAUGAGACACACGGGUGCUAACGUCCGUCGUGAAAAGGGAAACAACCCAGACCAUCAGCUAUCCCAAAGUUAUUGCUAUGGGAAACGAUGUGGAAGGCUUAGACAGCUAGAUGUUGGCUUAGAAGCAGCCAUCAUUUAAAGAAAGCGUAAUAGCUCACUAGUCGAGUCGGCCUGCGCGGAAGAUUUAACGGGCUAAGCAAUACACCGAAGCUAUGGGUUUAGCGUUUACUAGCAAGCGGUAGAGGAGCGUUCUGUAAGCCGUUGAAGGCGAAGGUAACCACGCUGGAGGUAUCAGAAGUGCGAAUGGCUGACAUGAGUAACGAUAAAGGGGAGUGAAAACUCCUCGCCGAAAGACCAAGGUUUCUGUCCAAUGUUAAUCAGGGCAGGUAAGUCGACCCUAAGGUGAGGCCGAAAGGCGUAAUCGAUGGGAAACGGGUUAAUAUUCUGUACUUCUACCAACUGCGAUGGAGAGACGGGAGAAGGCUAGCGCGGCGUUGGUUGUCCGCGUUUAAGGCUGUAGGCUGUUCACUUAGGCAAAUCCGUGAACGCAUUAAAUUGCAAAGCUGAGAGUUGAUGACGAGUCCCCGGGAUGGGGUAGUUGAUGCCAUGCUUCCGGCGAAAAUCUUCUAAGCUUCAGGUUAGUAGGGAAUCGCACCUCAAACCGACACAGGUGGUUGCAGAGAAUACCAAGGCGCUUGAGAGAACCGGCUGAAGGAACUAGGCAAAAUGGUACCGUAACUUCGAGAAGGUGCUGCCGGCGGUGAUGGACUUCAGCCGCCUGGCAGUCGCAGAUACCAGGUAUGGCAACUGUUUAUCAAAAACACAGUACCGUGCAAACUCGCAAGAGGAAGUAUACGGUAUGACGCCCGCCCGGUGCCGGAAGGUUAAUUGAUUGUUAUCUUCGGAGAAGCUCAUGAUCGAAGCUCAAACGGCGGCCGUAACUAUAAUUCAUUCUAAGGUAGCGAAAUUCCUUGUCGGGUAAGUUCCGACCUGCAACGAAUGGCGCACGAUUCACGCUGUCCCAGCCGAGACUCAGUGAAGUUGAAAUGGUGUGAAGAUGCCGUAUACCCGCGGCUAGACGGAAAGACCCGUGCACCUUUACUAUAGCUUGGCACUGAACAUUGAACCUACAUGUGUAGGAUAGGUGGGAGCGAAAUUCCUUGUCGGGUAAGUUCCGACCUGCACGAAUGGCGUAAUGACGGCCACGCUGUCUCCAGCCGAGACUCAGUGAAGUUGAAAUUGCGGUGAAGAUGCCGUAUACCCGCGGCUAGACGGAAAGACCCCGUGCACCUUUACUAUAGCUUGGCACUGAACAUUGAACCUACAUGUGUAGGAUAGGUGGGAGACUUUGAAGCAGAGACGCUAGUUUUUGUGGAGUCAACCUUGAAAUACCACCCUUGUAGUUUUGAUGUUCUAACUCUGGCCCCUGAAUCGGGGUUGAGGACAGUGCCUGGUGGGUAGUUUGACUGGGGGUCUCCCAAAGAGUAACGGAGGAGCACGAAGGUUGGCUAAGUACGGUCGGACAUCGUACGGUUAGUGCAAUGGCAUAAGCCAGCUUAACUGCGAGACAUACACGUCGAGCAGGUACGAAAGUAGGUCAUAGUGAUCCGGUGGUUCUGAAUGGAAGGGCCAUCGCUCAACGGAUAAAAGGUACGCCGGGGAUAACAGGCUGAUACCGCCCAAGAGUUCAUAUCGACGGCGGUGUUUGGCACCUCGAUGUCGGCUCAUCACAUCCCGGCUGAAGUUUCCAAGGGUAUGGCUGUUCGCCAUUUAAAGUGGUACGCGAGCUGGGUUCAGAACGUCGUGAGACAGUUCCUAUUCUGCCGGGCGUUGGAUGAUUAGGAAGCUGCUCCGUACGAGAGGACCGGAGUGGACGAACCGCUGGUGUUCGGGUUGUUAUGCCAAUAGCAUUGCCCGGUAGCUACGUUCGAAUCGAUAACCGCUGAAAGCAUCUAAGGGAAGCGAGUCCUAAGAUGAGUCAUCCCUAGGAAUUUAAUUCCUCUAAAGAGCCGUUCGAGACUAGGACGUUGAUAGGCAGGGUGUGUAAGCGUUGUGAGGCGUUGAGCUAACCUGUACUAAUGACUCGUGAGGCUUAACCAUACAACCCAGAUGGGUUUGU